rnacentral:tRNA from 1 species
GCGGCCGUGGACGAGACGCGGCGGACUCCAGCCUGGUAAGAUUUCAGCCCCCCACGGCCGAUGCCGGGGAGAGCUGACGACCCGGGUUCAAAUCCCGGCGGCCGCA